rnacentral:tRNA from 1 species
GGGGUUGUAACUCAGUGGUAGAGUGCUUGCCUCGAAUGCAUGAGGCACUGGAUUUGAUCCUCAUCACCA